GAUCCUACGGGGCGCAGCAGUGAGGAAUAUUGGUCAAUGGGCGAGAGCCUGAACCAGCCAAGUCGCGUGAGGGAAGACGGCCCUACGGGUUGUAAACCUCUUUUGUCAGGGAGCAAGAACGGAUACGUGUAUCCGAGCGAGAGUACCUGAAGAAAAAGCAUCGGCUAACUCCGUGCCAGCAGCCGCGGUAAUACGGAGGAUGCGAGCGUUAUCCGGAUUUAUUGGGUUUAAAGGGUGCGUAGGCGGGCUUUUAAGUCAGCGGUAAAAAUUCGGGGCUCAACCCCGUCCGGCCGUUGAACCUGGGG
rnacentral:rRNA from 1 species